rnacentral:rRNA from 1 species
AGUACGGCGGAACACGAGAAAUUCCGUCGGAAUCCGCGGGGACCAUCCCGCAAGGCUAAAUACUCCCUAGUGACCGAUAGUGAACCAGUACCGUGAGGGAAAGGUGAAAAGCACCCCGGAAGGGGAGUGAAAUAGAUCCUGAAACCGUGUGCCUACAACAAGUCAAAGCUCGUUAAUGAGUGAUGGCGUGCCUUUUGUAGAAUGAACCGGCGAGUUACGAUUGCAUGCGAGGUUAAGUCGAAGAGACGGAGCCGCAGCGAAAGCGAGUCUGAAUAGGGCGAAUGAGUAUGUAGUCGUAGACCCGAAACCAUGUGAUCUACCCAUGUCCAGGUUGAAGGUGCGGUAAAACGCACUGGAGGACCGAACCCACGUACGUUGAAAAGUGCGGGGAUGAGGUGUGGGUAGCGGAGAAAUUCCAAACGAACUUGGAGAUAGCUGGUUCUCUCCGAAAUAGCUUUAGGGCUAGCCUCGGAAUUGAGAAUGAUGGAGGUAGAGCACUGUUUGGACUAGGGGCCCAUCUCGGGUUACCGAAUUCAGAUAAACUCCGAAUGCCAUUCAUUUAUAUCCGGGAGUCAGACUGCGAGUGAUAAGAUCCGUAGUCGAAAGGGAAACAGCCCAGACCACCAGCUAAGGUCCCAAAAUAUAUGUUAAGUGGAAAAGGAUGUGGGGUUGCACAGACAACUAGGAUGUUGGCUUAGAAGCAGCCACCAUUUAAAGAGUGCGUAAUAGCUCACUAGUCGAGUGACCCUGCGCCGAAAAUGUAC